rnacentral:lncRNA from 1 species
CACCGCCACCUGGGACCUGGUUAGGAGCACGGACUCAGCCCCACCUCAGACCUGCUGAGUCAGAAGCCCUGGAGGCAGGCCCCCAAGAUCUGCUUUAACAAACUCUCGGGAGGGUUCCAAGGCACGUUACAGUUUGAGAACCAAUGGAUUUGAUUAGAAAAAAAGCAAGAGAUGAGACAGACGUGUCCCCCAAGGAGGACGUGUCUCCUUCGCAGGUGCACCAUCCAUGGAUUCCUGGGAGCUUAGUGGACCCCUCAGCAGGCGAGGCAGGAAAAGGACCUGAGGCACCUAGGCCUGUGCUGGGUAAACCUCAGAUGCAGAAAGGCCUGGAAGGAGAAAGGCGUGUUCGUUUUCAGGAGAGACCUGGAACUCGAGCAGAUGCCAGGGGAAUCACAGCACAGCUUGACGCAGCUGGAUCAUGAGCCACAUGGAGGCAGAGUGAAGACUUGUUUCAUCUUUUAAUCUGUAAUCCUCAGCAGCACCUGACAUGAGACCUCAAUAAAUAUUUGUUGCAUGAUUAUUGUUGAAUGACUUGUAGACACAAAAUGCUGUAUAAGCAUGAGAUGCAGCACGGGUGUGUGGAGAGAGGUGGACAGAGAGGAAAUUUAUUUACAACUUACACUUGUUCAUGAACACAGCCAUGAGCUGCGUGCUAGGGGUGCAAUAAAAGAACAGGAAAAACCCCACUAGAGCUCCCCAGUGAUAGACAACGAGCAUGUGAACACUUUCAUAAGGAAUCCAGGAGAACAUUCUGGUAUGCGUCACACAGGCAAUGGCCCGGGUGCUGUGACAGGGAGUGGCGGGGUGACCUGCUUUUUACAGAGUGAUCAUGAAGGGCUGCCUGAAGAAGUGAGAGUGAAUGCGACUGUGAGGAGAGAUGCCAAAAGAACAUUCCAGAAAGAGGGAAGAGCAGGCGUGAUGGCCCUGCCCAGGAAGGGCAUGCAUGUGUGGAAUACUCAGGCCGCCUGGAGCCUAGUGGGGUGCAGGGAGCGUGACAGGAGAUGAGGUUGGCCAUGUGGCAGGGCCAGGCCUGGAGGAGCCCACAGGCAGGGGAGGGGCGGGGAGUUCAUUCUCAGACCCAUGAGAAUCCAAUAAGGGGUGUUUUUGUUUUUUGUUUUGAGAUGGAGUUUUGUUCUGUCGCCCAGGCUGGAGUGCAGUGGUGCGAUCUCAGCUCACUGCAACAUCUGCCUCCCAGAUUCAAGCAAUUCUCCUGCCUCAGACUCCUGAGGAGCUGGGAUUAUAGGUACCCGCCACCACACCUAGCUAAUUUUUUGUAUUUUUGGUAGAGACGGGGUUUCACCAUGUUGGCCAGGCUGGUCUUAAACUCCUGACUUCAAGUGAUCCACCCGCCUCAGCUUCCCAAAGUGCUGGGAUUACGUGUGUGAGCCACUGCGCUCAGCCCAAUAAGGGAUGUUUUUAAACUGCUAAUCAAUGAAUUAAGGUAGUUGAUGUCACCAUCUGCAAUGGUGACUUCAACCCCAACUCCUGGCUCACACUGAUGAGAAUAAUCCACUUGGCAGUCUCAGGAGGGCUGUGCAGGUGUGUAGGUUGCGGGUGGAUUCUCCUCUGGAAGGAAGCCCAUGUCAAGAGCCUUCGCCACAAGGAGUUU